rnacentral:rRNA from 1 species
AGAGUUUGAUCCUGGCUCAGGAUGAACGCUGGCGGCGUGCCUAACACAUGCAAGUCGAACGGAGCGCCCGGACGGAGUAUUUCGGUACAAAGACCGGGUGGCUGAGUGGCGGACGGGUGAGUAACGCGUGGACAACCUGCCGUGUACAGGGGGAUAACAGCCGGAAACGGCUGCUAAUACCGCAUAUGCGCACAGUGCCGGAGGGGGACAGGGCGGAAAGCCUAGAUCUUAUCUAGUGCGGUACACGAUGGGUCCGCGUCUGAUUAGGUAGUUGGCGGGGUAACGGCCCACCAAGCCCACGAUCAGUAGCCGGCCUGAGAGGGCGGACGGCCACACUGGGACUGAGACACGGCCCAGACUCCUGCGGGAGGCAGCAGUGAGGAAUAUUGCACAAUGGGGGGAACCCUGAUGCAGCGACAGCGCGUGAAGGAAGAAGUAUCUCGGUGUGUAAACUUCUAUCAGCAGGGAAGAAAGAGGACGGUACCUGACUAAGAAGCCCCGGCUAACUACGUGCCAGCAGCCGCGGUAAUACGUAGGGGGCGAGCGUUAUCCGGAUUUACUGGGUGUAAAGGGAGCGUAGACGGCCAUGCAAGCUCGGUGUGAAAGGUGCGGGCACAACCCGCAGACUGCACUGAGAACUGUAUGGCUGGAGUGCCGAAGGGGCAGGCGGAAUUCCUGGUGUAGCGGUGAAAUGCGUAGAUAUCAGGAGGAACACCGGUGGCGAAGGCGGCCUGCUGGACGGCGACUGACGUUGAGGCUCGAAAGCGUGGGGAGCGAACAGGAUUAGAUACCCUGGUAGUCCACGCCGUAAACG